rnacentral:lncRNA from 1 species
UUUUGAGUUCUAGUUUAGGUGCUUCCUCAAUUGAUGGCUUGUGUAUUGGUUCAUCCAUCCUUACAAGUGGUUCGACAGGUGGUUGCCAUUGUGAAUGAACUCUCUGGUCAUAGGAUGUAGACAGUUCAUAAGCAAUUUCAGAUUCUAAGUCCAACUAGAGAUUACAGUCAAAAUCUUCUUUUUCUGGAUCAAUGGGCUCA